rnacentral:rRNA from 1 species
CAGCCGUAAACUAUGCGCGUUAGGUGUAUCGGUGACCACGAGUCACCGAGGUGCCGAAGGGAAACCGUGAAACGUGCCGCCUGGGAAGUACGGUCACAAGGCUGAAACUUAAAGGAAUUGGCGGGGGGAGCACCACAACGGGUGGAGCCUGCGGUUUAAUUGGACUCAACGCCGGGAAGCUCACCGGAUAAGACAGCGGAAUGAUUGCCGGGCUGAAGACUCUGCAUGACUAGCUGAGAGGAGGUGCAUGGCGUAGACGUCU